rnacentral:rRNA from 1 species
UACGAAGGGGGCUAGCGUUGUUCGGAUUUACUGGGCGUAAAGCGCACGUAGGCGGAUCGUUAAGUCGGGGGUGAAAUCCUGGAGCUCAACUCCAGAACUGCCUUCGAUACUGAGAGUCUCGAGUCCGGGGAGAGGUGAGUGGAACUGCGAGUGUAGAGGUGAAAUUCGUAGAUAUUCGCAAGAACACCAGUGGCGAAGGCGGCUCACUGGCCCGGUACUGACGCUGAGGUGCGAAAGCGUGGGGAGCAAACAGG